UNGAAACUGCCUGGUGCAGAUGCCAUGGUGA
rnacentral:piRNA from 1 species